GUUUUGAAGAAUAAGGUUGUGAACGAAACCUACUGACUCAAGUGCCACAAUAGGAAACCAAGAUGCCACUCUGAGAGGGUCUACCUAAAAUGGCACCUAAUUUUUGAAAUCGGGUUUUACUUGAAACUGAAUGAUAAGGCAACGAUUAAUAAGUUGCUUACAACAAUGCAUAUCAAUUGUUUUGUGUGACCCUGCAACGAGUUUCUUCCAAUACGUCUAUUUUGAUCUCUUAAUUUAUAGCUUCCGACGCGGUUUAGUUUCACCGUUUUUAUGUAUCUUUUUUAUGUGACCCCUUGGGGCAUGUUUUCGUAGGUUAACCAGAAUUUGUGGGACAUUUAUUGCUUCUAUCGAAACUGGUACCUUUAUGUUUGGUGCUCAUCUGCAACUGACCCC